UCAAGUUUUGAAAUAGUAUAAAUAUGAGUUUGACGGAUUGUAAAUAUAUUCACAAACUUUAAUUAGAUUUUUGAUUCAAUCGUGUUUUGAUUUCUUAGUUUUGUUUGCUUUUUCAAAGAUAUUUUUUAUUCCCAAUAUUAAACUAGUAAUGUAUUGAUUAAUUAGCUACAAAGGGGGUGACUGGCAUUAGAUUAUGAGAGUUGAAUUUUACCACA
rnacentral:lncRNA from 1 species